rnacentral:rRNA from 1 species
GAUGAACGCUGGCGGCGUGCCUAAUACAUGCAAGUCGAGCGAACGGACGAGAAGCUUGCUUCUCUGAUGUUAGCGGCGGACGGGUGAGUAACACGUGGAUAACCUACCUAUAAGACUGGGAUAACUUCGGGAAACCGGAGCUAAUACCGGAUGAUAUUUUGAACCGCAUGGUUAAAAAGUGAAAGACGGUCUUGCUGUCACUUAUAGAUGGAUCCGCGCUGCAUUAGCUAGUUGGUAAGGUAACGGCUUACCAAGGCAACGAUGCAUAGCCGACCGGAGAGGGUGAUCGGCCACACUGGAACUGAGACACGGUCCAGACUCCUACGGGAGGCAGCAGUAGGGAAUCUUCCGCAAUGGGCGAAAGCCUGACGGAGCAACGCCGCGUGAGUGAUGAAGGUCUUCGGAUCGUAAAACUCUGUUAUUAGGGAAGAACAUAUGUGUAAGUAACUGUGCACAUCUUGACGGUACCUAAUCAGAAAGCCACGGCUAACUACGUG